GGGAGCAGUCCACACAGCUAGUGCUCCGGGUUUUGCACCACUAAUUUAAAUUGGGCAAGAUUGUCUUUUACGGACGUUUAUGGAUUGCAUGUGUGAGAUGGAUCGGGCUUGAUCACGUUUUUAACACGUGCAAAUACUAGGAGAGAGUCACAUGACUCACAUUCACCACUGAACACAACAAUGAACAAUAUGAUGAUGAUGAUGAUGAUGAUGAUGAUGAUGAUGAACAGUUUGAAGAGUUACUGCUGAUGACAGGAACAGGCAGACGAGCUGAAAACAUGAGAGAAAAAAGAAACAUGAGGAUGAAUGAAGAUAUUCAAGCAGACGAGGAAAAAACAAUGAGAGGUACCAAAACUAAUCAAAAGUACAACAUUUAAAAACAAUUUAUUAGAAAAUUAAAUACAAACUUGAAAAAAAGCUGUUUUGUAAUUCUAAGUAAUUAGAUACUUCUUUAGAUUUACUUUA